UUCUGUUAGUGUUUGUUUCACAUAUGUAGGUGCUCCUGUGUUGGGUGCAUAGAUAUUUUAAAUGGUUGUAUCCUCUUGUUGGACUGACCCCUUUAUCAUUAUGGAAUGUCCUUCUUUCUCUCUUGUUGCUUUCUUUGUUUUGAAGUCUAUUUUGUGUGAUACAGGUACUGCAUCUCCUGAUUUUUUUCUCCCUAUUGUUUGCAUGAAACAUGUUUUUCCAUCCCUUCACUUUUGGUCUUUGUAUGUCUUUGGGUUUGAAGUAGUCUCUUGUAGGCAGCAUAUAGAUGGGUAUUGCUUUUUUAUCCACUGUGUAACUCUGUGUCUUUUGGUUGGUGCAUUCAGUCCGUUUACAUUUAGGGUGAUUAUUGAUAUGUGCCUACUACCAUUACAGGCUUUGGAUUUGUGGUCACCAAAGGGUCAAGGGCAGCAGUACCUGCAGGGCCUGCUGCACGUCCCUAGGGGGCGAGGCGGUGCAGGAAGCCGCCCUGGCCGGCUGGUCCGUCCGAAAUUCCUAGUGGGCGGGUCAGCGAGUUAGGAAACAGGCGAGGGGGUGGGGGCGGGGCGCGGGGCCGCGAGCCUCCUCCCCUCGGCCAAUCAGCAGCUUCGGCAGCCCCUGGGAGGGCGCACUUUCUUCCCUGCACCCGGCGAGGAGGAGGACGGCAGCGGCGUCUCCUCAACUGCAGGCGGACUCCUCAGGAGCCGCGGCGCGGCCCUGGCACUGGCUGCGGGGCCGCCGAAGGCGUUCUGACGGAAAUUUCCCUGCUUACAACUUCGCCGCCGCCGCCGCGCUCCUGGAGGCCCGCCGCUGCCAGAUAACGGCCGCUCUGCUGCACCGUGGCGCCCGAGAGCCCGGCCAAAGUUGAGCGCAGGCCGGCGGCGCGGGUGGUGGCCGCUCCGGACGCUCCAGCUGCACUUGCUCCAGGCGCUGGUUCAAGUUUCAUACCCUUGUGGUGUGAGAAGCUGCAUCAUUUUGGGGGGCUCGUCUGGGAUAACUUCGGAGGUGAGUAUCAGCAUCCAAGCCUGCCUUUUCUUUCACUGUCCUUAUAGAAGGAAGCCGUCUGUGGCACACAUCAUUGGGCGCUCGUCAGCCACUUAAAUGGGACUAACCCGGCUGCCGAUCUCAAAGUCUCGAGUGACAGGUUCCCCUGCGUCUCCCUCAGUGGAUCACCCGUCUUCCUUGGGAACCAGGAAAGUCACCUGAGUGGAGGCCAGGACAGGAUUCCCCUUCAGAGGCAUCUCCUUGGACGCCAGGGACUGAGGAAGGCCGUGGGCACCUGCGAGAGUCUAGGCUGAGGAUGCGCUUCAGCGGCUUCUCAAAGGCCCGCGUGUCUGGAAUCAGACCCCGACAUCCCGACUGGGUAUCCGUGAGGAGUGUCCCUCUUUCUGUCUCUCUCUGACUUCCAGCCUGCUUCUCCAGGCCGCCCUGGCCUCUGAGUGAGGCAGGGGGCGUUCCUAACUCUCUUCUAACUUUAUCAGCAUCACGGACCCCGAUGCUCAGCACCGCAAGCCACCUAAAAGACAAUUAUCGUCGCCUGCCAGUCUUAAGUCUUGUUGAAAGUUUCCCAGUGUGUGCCGUCCAUAAUUCCCACUUCUGGAUAAAUGGGAAUGCAGGGAGUGGCUGUGCGGAGCUCCUGCUUUCCUCUCAUAAGCUGCAGACUGGGAGGGCAGACCGGACUAGUAGACAGUGGUCCUUGGAUCUCCGCUCCGGCCGAUGGAUGUGAUGGCGCUGAGUGAACCUCCUGCUAGGCUGCUGCCUAUGGAAGAGUCACAGAUGACCCCUGACCUCUUGUGUCACCAGAUUUCUUACAGUGGGUGACUAGCAGGGUGUUUCCCAGGCAGUGGCAGAAACUGGUGUUGGAAGUAUAUAGACGCCCCCCCAAUAAAUGUCCGUCCCAGCCUCUGAAUUUUAUCUCUGGCUUUUGAAAAAGUUCCCUUGCUCCUCAUUCAAAGCCGUCCUGUUAAGGCUGUGCCACUUUCUCCUGUAUAAUGUAAAUGAAGUCUGUGCAGUAGUCAGGCUGAAACCCGAGUCCACCAUGUAAAUGAUUCUAUGCUAUUGACCUCCCUUCCUUAGAGGCAGCCAUCCUGGGGCUGUGGCAUUUCCCUACCUGUAGCCCCAGGGAAGGGAAACAGGAUUGUGAGUCUGACCAAAGCUCUGACAGGGAGAUGCCAGACAGUCCCUGCACUUAUUGGACAGGCAGGGGGCUCUCAAGGAAUGAUCCCGAGUGUACUAUGCUAAAGCUUGUGCAGAGAAAACUAGGAUCUAGAUGUAACUCCCCAAAGGCAUAAAGUAGGAGCACACUGUUAAGGUCACACUAAAAAUCCAGAGCUCUGAGGCGACUCUUGCUUAGUGGGAACACAAGAGGGAAAUCAAGGCAAGGUGCAGGCCACGGUGGUAAGGAGUGGUGAAACCCAGUAGACCUGGCAGAGGAGGUGAUUGACCACUGUCACCCAGGCUCCAAGGCGAGGGGACGCCCUCACAGAGAGAGAGGCUGACCAGGUGCUGGAUGUGAGGCCCCACACAGGGAGCACCCUGGCUGGCCUGUGGGGGCCGAGGCAGGUGCAGGCCCUGUAGGUCUUUGUGCCUAUGUGCUGAUGUCACCCCUGUGGUCCUGCCUGGUGGCCCUUCUCCAGAGAGCAUGAGUAGUCACAGGUAAAGGAGCCUCCUUUUGGGGACACCCCGGGCUGGUGUUGGUUAGUGGCCCUUUGCUUGCUGAGGUGGCAGGCCAGCUAGCUUGCUGGGAGACUGCUCCCCUCUCUGCUGUCAAGGUGUGGACAUGGUGUUUCAGUGCAUUUAGGCACUUAGAUGUGAGUGAGGUCUAUUUGAAAUGGAAUAGUAGCUUUUAGAGCUAUGUUUCUUUCUGUUUGUAUGAAAAAGGUACUGAGCCUAAGGAGUUGGGUGAAAGUGGCAGGAAUUCUAAGAAUAUUUAUGUCCUUGCAUUUCUGUUUAGGGAAAUGAUUCUGAAGUAAUUUUUUACUCAUGUAUGAAGGUGAUGAGUAAAGUCACAUUAAUCAUGUCGAGAUGAAGUGAUAAUGUAGCAGAAAUAAAGCCCCUACACCUUGGCCUGAUACACAGGAGACACACCAUUGGCGCUCUUUGCUCUCCUGUCCUGGUUCAUUACCUUAACUAACUUCAUGGUUCAGAGUGGUCCCAUCCACAUUUCAAGCAAAGUCUUUCUAAAACUGCAUAGAAACACUUGGCAGGAUAUCCCCAGAGGGUAGUGGAAAAAUUACUCUUUCUGAUCACUGUUUCUUUGCCAGUUGUUCUCUCUGCCCCGCGUUCCUUUCCUAUUUCUGCAUUUCCUGUGAUUGUAGACCGAGAGGGGCAGUGGUGCGCGUCUCCUCUAGACAGCCUUUGGGGCUGUUCAGGGGCCGUGUUUCUGUGGUGUUGGCAGUGCUCUUACCUUAAACAUAGCUUGUCCUCUGAAGUAUUCAUGCAGGGUUACUUCUCUUAUGCAAUCAAAAUUGUAGAAAAACCAUUAGCGUUUUCUGUUCUCAGUUGUAUUUCAGAUCUAACCCGAUUUCUUAGGCACGUUAUAUGUUCCUUUUGAAUUGUAAGCAUAAAGCAACAGAUCACUUUUUAUGUUCACCUACAUCAUUAGCAAUAAAUAAUUAGAUCAACGUGUAAGUUUUAUCAAAUU